rnacentral:rRNA from 1 species
GACGUAGGGUGCGAGCGUUGUCCGGAUUUAUUGGGCGUAAAGAGCUCGUAGGCGGCUCGUCGCGUCGACCGUGAAAACCCGCGGCUUAACUGCGGGCUUGCGGUUGAUACGGGCGGGCUAGAGUUCGGUAGGGGAGACUGGAAUUCCUGGUGUAGCGGUGAAAUGCGCAGAUAUCAGGAGGAACACCAGUGGCGAAGGCGGCUCACUGGCCCGAUACUGACGCUGAGGCACGAAAGCGUGGGGAGCAAACAGG